GUAGGGAAUUUUCGUCAAUGGGCGCAAGCCUGAACGAGCGAUGCCGCGUGAGUGAAGAAGGUCUUCGGAUCGUAAAGCUCUGUUGCGGGGGAAAAAAGGCAGGAAGAGGAAAUGCUUUCUGACUGAUGGUGCCCCGCCAGAAAGUCACGGCUAACUACGUGCCAGCAGCCGCGGUAAUACGUAGGUGGCGAGCGUUAUCCGGAAUGAUUGGGCGUAAAGGGUGCGCAGGCGGUCCUGCAAGUCUGGAGUGAAAAGGACGAGCUCAACUCGUGCUGGCUUUGGAAACUGCGGGACUGGAGAGCAGGAGAGGGCGGUGGAACUCCAUGUGUAGCGGUAAAAUGCGUAGAUAUAUGGAAGAACACCAGUGGCGAAGGCGGCCGCCUGGCCUGUUACUGACGCUGAGGCACGAAAGCGUGGGGAGCAAAUAGGA
rnacentral:rRNA from 1 species